UGUUUGGGUUUCAUCCCUGUGUAUUUAUUAGAGGUUUACCCUCGCUCCUUUGUUUGGGUUACAUCCCUGUGUAUUUAUUAGAGGUUUACCCUCGCUCCUUUGUUUGGGUUACAUCCCUGUGUAUUUAUUAGAGGUUUACCCUGGCUCCUUUGUUUGGGUUACAUCCCUGUGUAUUUAUUAGAGGUUUACCCUGGCUCCUUUGUUUGGGUUACAUCCCUGUGUAUUUAUUAGAGGUUUACCCUCGCUCCUUUGUUUGGGUUACAUCCCUGUGUAUUUAUUAGAGGUUUACCCUGGCUCCUUUGUUUGGGUUACAUCCCUGUGUAUUUAUUAGAGGUUUACCCUGGCUCCUUUGUUUGGGUUACAUCCCUGUGUAUUUAUUAGAGGUUUACCCUGGCUCCUUUGUUUGGGUUACAUCCCUG